GGUUAGAGUCUGGGUGAAGUUUCAGUGAGGUGGUAGAGUCUGGGUGAGGUUUCAGUGAGGUGGUUAGAGUCUGGGUGAGGUUUCAGUGAGGUGGUUAGAGUCUGGGUGAGGUUUCAGUGAGGUGGUUAGAGUCUGGGUGAGGUUUCAGUGAGGUGGUUAGAGUCUGGGUGAGGUUUCAGUGAGGUGGUUAGAGUCUGGGUGAGGUGAGGUUACAGUGAGGUGGUUAGAGUCUGGGUGAGGUUUCAGUGAGGUGGUUAGAGUCUGGGUGAGGUUUCAGUGAGGUGGUAGAGUCUGGGUGAGGUUUCAGUGAGGUGGUUAGAGUCUGGGUGAGGUUUCAGUGAGGUGGUUAGAGUCUGGGUGAGGUUUCAGUGAGGUGGUUAGAGUCUGGGUGAGGUUUCAGUGAGGUGGUUAGUUUGGGUGAGGUGAGGUUACAGUGAGAUGGUUAGAGUCUGGAUGAGGUUUCAGUGAGGUGGUUAGAGUCUGGGUGAGGUUUCAGUGAGGUGGUUAGUUUGGGUGAGGUGAGGUUACAGUGAGGUGGUUAGAGUCUGGGUGAGGUUUCAGUGAGGUGGUUAGAGUCUGGGUGAGGUUUCAGUGAGGUGGUUAGAGUCUGGGUGAGGUUACAGUGAGGUGGUUAGAGUCUGGGUGAGGUUUCAGUGAGGUGGUUAGAGUCUGGGUGAGGUUACAGUGAGGUGGUUAGAGUCUGGGUGAGGUUUCAGUGAGGUGGUUAGAGUCUGGGUGAGGUUUCAGUGAGGUGGUUAGAGUCUGGGUGAGGUUUCAGUGAGGUGGUUAGAGUCUGGGUGAGGUGAGGUUACAGUGAGGUGGUUAGAGUCUGGGUGAGGUUUCAGUGAGGUGGUUAGAGUCUGGGUGAGGUUUCAGUGAGGUGGUUAGAGUCUGGGUGAGGUUUCAGUGAGGUGGUUAGAGUCUGGGUGAGGUUACAGUGAGGUGGUAGAGUCUGGGUGAGGUUUCAGUGAGGUGGUUAGAGUCUGGGUGAGGUUACAGUGAGGUGGUUAGAGUCUGGGUGAGGUUUCAGUGAGGUGGUUGGAGUCUGGGUGAGGUUUCAGUGAGGUGGUUAGAGUCUGGGUGAGGUUUCAGUGAGGUGGUUAGAGUCUGGGUGAGGUUUCAGUGAGGUGGUUAGAGUCUGGGUGAGGUUUCAGUGAGGUGGUUAGAGUCUGGGUGAGGUUUCAGGGAGCCUCAGGGCUCAGCUUGGUGUUGGUUAUGAGGAAUCCUUGUGGUUUUGUCAGCCUGCUGUGAGUUAUAGGAGAGCACUGUGGUUUAUAACGAGGGUUAUAGUUCGGUUAGACAGAGAGGCUGCGUCCCAAAUGGCACCCUAUUCCCUAUAUAGUGCACUACUUUCAACAAGAGUCAUAUUCCCUUUAGAAUGCACUACUUUCAACCAGAGCCCAUGCCAUUUGGGCCAUAGCCAGAGUGGACUGGGCCCGGGCCAGAGCUGGGGUUUGACCGGACUAC